UAAAAAUACAUACCAUUUUUUAUAUUCCACAUCAUUUUGUUCAUCGCAAUCAUCUUACGUGAGUAAAAGUGAUGGCUUCAAACACAAUUGUUGACUGCGGUGAUGAUGUUCCUACAUACCAACCACGGGGUUUAGAACAUGUUUCUCCCAAUUCUAGAAGAAAGACAUAUACUCCAACUUCAUCAUCUUCGCUGACUCCAGUAGAGGGCAUGUGAUUUGACACAGUGGAUGUUGUGUAUAACUUUUACAAAGCAUCUGCGGAUGCUGGAGGUUAGACAGUUAGGAAGGGUACACAGCACGAAAAUCGUGGUAUUAUACUAAAUAAGUAUUUUGUGUGCUCAAAAGAGGGCCAUAAAGUGUUUCCACCUAUAGAUA